AUCCACUGAUAGACCUUGAACAAUUUGCUGUUCUUUUGUUUUGUAUUAGGAGGCAAAAGGAAUAAAAUCCCUGUGCUUUCUGUCUGUCUUUGUGGCAGCCCAGAUAGAAUAGGGGAAUACAUCU